CCUACGGGGGGCAGCAACCGGGAAUUUUGCGCAAUGGACGAAAGUCUGACGCAGCGACACCGCGUGUGGGAUGAAGCGCUUCGGCGUGUAAACCACUGUGGCAGGGGAAUAACUCAAUGAAGGUACCCUGCUAGAAAGCACCAGCUAACCACGUGCCAGAAGCUUCGGUAAUACGUGGGGUGCAAGCGUUAUCCGGAUUUACUGGGCGUAAAGAGUCCGUCGGCGGUUGGUUAAGUUGCUUGUUUAAGCCCGAGGCUCAACUUCGGAUCAGCAAGCAAAACUAAUCAACUUGAGUCUGUUAGAGGUAGCUGGAAUUCUUGGUGGAGGGGUGAAAUCCGUAGAUAUCAAGAGGAACGCCACGCGCGAAGGCAAGCUACUGGGACACGACUGACGCUCAUGGACGAAAGCUUGGGUAGCAAAGC
rnacentral:rRNA from 1 species